UCGAGCGGCAGCGGGAGGAAGCUUGCUUCCUCGCCGGCGAGCGGCGGACGGGUGAGUAAUGUCUGGGGAUCUGCCCGAUGGAGGGGGAUAACCACUGGAAACGGUGGCUAAUACCGCAUAACGUCGCAAGACCAAAGUGGGGGACCUUCGGGCCUCACACCAUCGGAUGAACCCAGAUGGGAUUAGCUAGUAGGUGGGGUAAUGGCUCACCUAGGCGACGAUCCCUAGCUGGUCUGAGAGGAUGACCAGCCACACUGGAACUGAGACACGGUCCAGACUCCUACGGGAGGCAGCAGUGGGGAAUAUUGCACAAUGGGCGCAAGCCUGAUGCAGCCAUGCCGCGUGUGUGAAGAAGGCCUUCGGGUUGUAAAGCACUUUCAGCGAGGAGGAAGGUGGUGAGCUUAAUACGUUCAUCAAUUGACGUUACUCGCAGAAGAAGCACCGGCUAACUCCGUGCCAGCAGCCGCGGUAAUACGGAGGGUGCAAGCGUUAAUCGGAAUUACUGGGCGUAAAGCGCACGCAGGCGGUUUGUUAAGUCAGAUGUGAAAUCCCCGAGCUUAACUUGGGAACUGCAUUUGAAACUGGCAAGCUAGAGUCUCGUAGAGGGGGGUAGAAUUCCAGGUGUAGCGGUGAAAUGCGUAGAGAUCUGGAGGAAUACCGGUGGCGAAGGCGGCCCCCUGGACGAAGACUGACGCUCAGGUGCGAAAGCGUGGGGAGCAAACAGGAUUAGAUACCCUGGUAGUCCACGCCGUAAACGAUGUCGAUUUGGAGGUUGUGCCCUUGAGGCGUGGCUUCCGGAGCUAACGCGUUAAAUCGACCGCCUGGGGAGUACGGCCGCAAGGUUAAAACUCAAAUGAAUUGACGGGGGCCCGCACAAGCGGUGGAGCAUGUGGUUUAAUUCGAUGCAACGCGGAAGAACCUUACCUACUCUUGACAUCCAGAGAACUUUUCAGAAGAUGGAUUGGGUGCCUUCGGGGACUUCUGAGACAGGGUGCUGCAUGGGUUGUCGUCCAGCUCCGGGUUGUGGAAAUGUUG
rnacentral:rRNA from 1 species